AGUUGUUGAUGAAUUGUAAAUCGCCUCAACAAUCGUCGAAAAUUGUUGUCUCAAAAGCAUUGCCUCAAAGCUCAGAGGAGGUUGGACACCAGGCCGCAAAGCAUCAUGGGUAUUGAGCGCCUAAUUCCACGCGUGCUUCAUUGACUGUUGACUGUCGAGGAGUGAACAUCUCUCUGACUAUGAAACCAAUAUGGAAGCAUUCGAACGACAAAUGGUUGUCGGUUUAAGGUUGGUAUUAAUUAGUACAAUGCACUACAGUUAUGUUGUUAUUUAGUCAAAUUUCCGCUUUGUUGUUUUUAUUCUUGUAUUGUAAUUUCAUAAAUACACUGUACAAAAUUAUGGCGUAAUAUUUGUGUUUAUUGCCUCUAGUUUGACCCUAUUGUGUUUUGUGUGUGAAUGUGUGUGUGUGUCUAUGUACUGUGUUACAUGUUUUGAGUUAAACAAAUUGUUUAAUACAUUUUUGCUGAAGUAUGAUGCCUGUUUGUAUCUAGUUGCGGACAUAUUUUUGCAUAUAUACCAGGUGAUCUCGUGUUCGUAUUUUAGCCAAUCAGCGCUCAGAAUGGGUUGUCUGAAUAGAAAUCCAUUUUGAUGUAUUCAGUCAAUUAUAUCUUUCGUUAUUCUUUAUGAAACUAGUUGAAAUUUUGUAAUUAUGUUUGGUUAUGAGAACUAUAGCUCUGACAAAAAUAUGGAAUCGAAAUAAAGUAUAUUACAGGAGAUAUUCAGUUGUUUUAAUCACAAAAUGGAUUUCUAUUUGACAACUAGUGCUAGUACUUUUCCGCGUAUCAAGAUCAUCUGGUAUGCAUACAGUAGUUAGAUAUUUGGCAAUAUUUAGUAGUUAGAUAUAUGGCAAUAUUUUUCAUACAGUAGUUAGAUAUAUGGCAAUAUUUUUCAAUUUUCAUCUGUAAAAUAUUGCCAUAUUUGUGUGUUGUUCUAAUAUUACUGUAAAUACUAUAGUGACACACUUUUGCAUUAGAUUGCUAAUUUUAGAGAUUACAGUGUAUGUAUAAAAUAGUAAAAUGAAAAUUUUCUUGUUAUGAUUUUGUAGUAGGAAGAAAUCUACUUGAGUGGUUGGCUGGUCUUGAACCUGGUCAGGAUGGAUAUGGUAAUGAAGGUGAUAGGGCAGAAAGUCGUGACCAGUUAAGUGGUGAGGAUGAAAGUGACAAGGACGAAAUCACCCAUGCUGUACCAUUCAAGUGCAUCAGUGCUGCUCAUGAGAAAAACUACCAACAUCAUUUGGAACAGGCAUACUUUGCUCUUCAUGGACUGAAUGGACUUGAAUCCAAUGGACCCAAGUGCAAUUGAUCUAGACUAUGGAACAGGAUGGACACAUGUUGGUUAUAUUGCUUCUGAACUAUGCAAGUAUUUGCACCCACUAAUUGCCGCAGGAGAUAUCUUAGAGGUCUAUGUUCAGCAUAUCAGGUGUAGGGUUGACUUUUUAAAAAUAGGAUUUUAUCCAAAAAAUUCAUAAAGCGAUGUGGUGAGUGGGAGACUCAAGUGGUAAAUAAGAGCAUGAGUGUACAUUGACAGAUGUUUGUGAUAUAAUAGCAACUGACUAGGUUUAGCAAGUUAUAGAAAUGCUGUUAUUUCAAUUGGCUAACUUUUUAGAUUUUUUUCAGCAUUUUUCAACAAAAACUAGGUUAAUCACAAGUGGGUGCAAUUAAAACAAUGUCUGUCUGUGAUGCACAUUCAUGCAAUUAAGUACACAAUUGUAACAUGUGGUGAACAAAAUAAACAAAUAAAUAGUUUAUGCAUUCACUUGAC
rnacentral:lncRNA from 1 species